GCCAGCUGCGUGAAUUAAUGUGAAUUGCAGGACACACUGAACAUCGACACCUUGAACGCACAUUGCGGCUCUGGCUCACUGCCAGAGCCACGCCUGUCCGAGGGUCGGCGAACACACAAUCGCACAGCCGUCUUGCACGGUGUGUGCGCGUUGGCGAGUCGCGCGGGCUUCAGUCCCGGUCGUCCGCCGAAGACUUCAGCCUCUCUCUGGGCGGCCUUACAGAGGUGGCGCGGGGACAGGGCUCGAACGGGCCUUCUGUCUGGCGCCUCGUACCCCCUAGCCGUCUCGUCGUCCAUCGCGAUGACGAUGAUGGUCUCGUCACACAUCCGACCUCGGAUCAGACGGGACUACCCGCUGAAUUUAAGCAUAUCAG
rnacentral:rRNA from 1 species